GGUGGGGAUUAUACUGAGCUUGUCCCACCUGUUCCCAUUCCGAACACAGAAGUGAAAUAGCUCAAGGCCGAUGGUAGUUCUUUUAGAGCAAGAGUAGGUAAUCCCCACCU
rnacentral:rRNA from 1 species